rnacentral:rRNA from 1 species
UACGUAGGUGGCAAGCGUUGUCCGGAAUUACUGGGUGUAAAGGGCGUGUAGGCGGGAGCGCAAGUCAGAUGUGAAAACUCAGGGCUCAACCCUGAGCCUGCAUUUGAAACUGUGUUUCUUGAGUGCUGGAGAGGCAAUCGGAACUCCGUGUGUAGCGGUGAAAUGCGUAGAUAUACGGAGGAACACCAGUGGCGAAGGCGGAUUGCUGGACAGUAACUGACGCUGAGGCGCGAAAGCGUGGGGAGCAAACAGG